rnacentral:rRNA from 1 species
CGGUGGAGUAUGUGGUUUAAUUCGAUGCAACGACGAAAACCUUACCCACCUUUGACAUGGCAGGAAUCCUAAGAGAUUUUGGAGUGCUCGAAAGAGAACCUGCACACAGGUGCUGCAUGGCUGUCGUCAGCUCGUGUCGUGAGAUGUUGGGUUAAGUCCCGCAACGAGCGCAACCCUUGUCAUUAGUUGCUACAUUCAGUUGGGCACUCUAAUGAGACUGCCGGUGACAAACCGGAGGAAGGUGGGGAUGACGUCAAGUCCUCAUGGCCCUUAUAGGUGGGGCUACACACGUCAUACAAUGGAUGGUACAAAGGGUCGCCAACCCGCGAGGGGGAGCCAAUCCCAUAAAGCCAUUCGUAGUCCGGAUCGCAGUCUGCAACUCGACUGCGUGAAGUCGGAAUCGCUAGUAAUCGUGGAUCAGAAUGUCACGGUGGAUACGUUCCCGGGUCUU